AAGCUCUAUCAUUGGUACGAUCUCUAUAAUCGAUUGCUGAAUCGCUACCUUUCAAUACAUGUAUCGAUAACUCUCUGACACACAAAUCGAUACCGCUUUCAUAUCGAUAAUCGUUGAUAUUCGAAAAUAUUCAUGGCUGCUGUUGUACAAGAUAAGGGACAAUAAGGUAGCUUUUUCAACGUUUAUUUUUGCAAUUAAGGGAGGUAAAAGAAAAAUUAAUAGAAUUCCACUUUCAAUAUCUUGUAGGAGGUAUGAAAUACAUUCUAAAGUUGCGUUUUCUCGAUCGGUUAACUGAUUCAGGAUAACGGCUGUUUGACGAUUUUUUAAGCGUACCUCGUCAAGGAUUAAGAAUCUCUACACACGGUACUAUGUCGUGUAAAAAGGGGCGAGCAAAGUGAGGAUCAUCUCGCGAUUUUGGUUUUUAGGUUAGCGCGAACUUCGAGCUGGACCUAACCUAGUGCUGCGAAUUCGGGUAACUUUUGGUGCGUUCUCUUUGGGCGCUUUGCGCCGUAAGCGUCAUUCUAUCUUUUUCCCGCAGAUAAUGAGCGAUAAAGAUAGAAUGACGCUUAAGCGCGUAAACGCCCAAAGCGAACGCCCCAAAAGUUACCUGAACUCGCAGCACUGACCUAAACACAAAAGACGGGAGGGUCCUGUUCGCGCCGUUUAAUCGUGGUAUCACCUGCUUAAUGGCAUCCUCGUGGAAUUGCGCCAGGAGAGUAGCGUCCGCGGUAGAAUCGAUGAGAUCGUGCUCCGCGGAGUCGGCCGACGCCGAGUUCACGCCGGCCGUGGUGACGCUCGCCGGUUGCGUCGUCAUCUCCUCGGUGUAGAGACCGGUCCUAGUGUUCAAGAUGCGUUCUCCGCCGCCUGUUUUCGUCGUGUUGCCGCCGGAGGGUGCGAGGCCGCCGCCACCACUGCCAACAAGCCACUGGCUUUCCUCCUCCGAUGAGGGCAUUACUGCCAGAAACCAUCUGAAAACAAGAUAAUAGCAAUAAUGAGCAAUUAAUGUGCCCAAAAGUCCGAGAUAUAUCCCAGAGACGUCACAUCGUCUCUGGAAUGUAUUUUGGACUCUUGUGUUGUACGGGCGAGGACUUCUCACGCUAAUACUACUCACUAAUACGUCCUUCACAUGUUGCGCGAUAAUUAUAUUCGGCAAUCUCUUCGUAGACCCUGCGUAAAAUAAUUGCGCGUAAUUAAUACACCAGACCCACCUGGCUACCUAUCCGACGAAUUGAACUUGAAAUCCAUACAGUGACGGAGACCCGCGCGAUAGGCUGCACUUUACUAACGCAGAUAAGAUAAGGUGCACAUUCGAGUCAAGAUAAAGACGCGGAUCGAAUCAAUAUUGAGGUUCUUCGAAGGUAUAUAAGAGCCGGAAGUCGGACAAACGUUAGAACAAAUACUAAGAGAAUCACGGUGGCGGCUCCUGCAGACAGGAGAGAUUACUCUCUCGCGGGAGGUCCACAGCGCCUCUCCGCUCUCCGUACACGACGCGCGUCAUCGCGCACACGAACUGUUCCGCGCUUUUUAUUUGCUUUCACGACGCUUCGUUUGACCGACGCUAUCGAUAUAAUGUUAAAGCAACGGUUCCCGUCGAAGCGAUGAAGCGCGAGGAAGCGGAUACACAGCGCGCGCGGAGCGGAGGUGAACGUGUAUGUCAAGCGAGACACGCUCGCUCGUGGCUUCGCGGAGCUCGGAGGAGCUUAUCGCGUGAUGCACGUGCGUGAAAAGGCGUGCGUCAUGUUUCUGCUCAUAUAAACGCACGGCCGUGCGCGCGGUUCACUGACCACUGUGCACGAUAUUCACGGUGACAAGUGAGAUAUUCGACAUUCGCGAGCUUAUCAUGAACGCCUCAGCCGUUAUCAAGCGUCAACAAUAAACGGCUAUUUGCACUGCACUGCACUCUCUCUCUUUGCUUCUCGCGAAUCUCAUGAAUCGUGCCAAUAUUUUGGGUCAAGUUAUAUAUCGCGUGCGCGAAAUAAAAUAUGAGCUGUUGCUUUCUAAAUUUCUUGGAGCGGAAUCUUACUCAAAACGAGUGAAAAGUCACUCGAAGCGAUAGUGGAAAUUUCGUCUCUCGACAUCGCAAGAGUGAACUGAAGUUUAGAGUGGACUUUGACUCUGUAUGAAUGAAUGUUUCGAUCGACUAGAGGAAGUGUGUUUCCGUGACAGUGGAGUACGUUCGCGAGGUCAAAUAUUAAAUAAAAAUAUUCACUCGACGAUUCAGAACGGAAAAUGCAUUUUUUGUAUAACUGAAAAAUCACUCGGCGGUCACUUCUCACGUGAGAUUUCACUCCAAGAAAUCUAGAGAGUGUGUUUAUCAAGAGAAUCGGUCGACGACGCCAUAAUUGGAGCAAACUUUUUCGCUUCCACAGCGAUAUUAUUAAAACUAAGAACCGAGUUAACGAAACAAUGCAUUAUGUAUACAUUGGUUUCGAUAAUAUUGUUGUUAAAUCAAGAAUAUUUACUCUAAUUACGGCGCUGUUGAUUUUACUGAUACAACAGCGUUGUGCUUCAUCGAUGAAUGAAGUUAUCGUGUCGUUUCCUCGAGGAUUUUCCGAGCAGGAGAAUUCUUGAUUUUAACGAUCUGACAGUAACGAUAUACUUUUCCCUUCCGCAGGUGAUUCGCACGACAUGCACAUAGACGUCAUCGCGUUGCCGUAUCUACGUCGCAGUCCUUUGACUCAUACAUCCUGCAUGCGGAUAUACAGCCUUGCCUAUCGUUGACCUUAGCGGGGCCAAAGCCGGGUAGCGCGGCUUUCGCGUGCACUUGCAUUUCGCGGACAGUAAUGCAGCGUUUAUGAGCCGCGCGUUGAAACACGCGGAGGUCGCGUUCCGCCAAGGCUGAUUAAUUCCCGGAAUUAAUGCGACCUGCCGCAGCACGCGUAUUACAAGCUCUUUCCUGAGCUCGUACAUACGCAGAUACAUGCUAAUUCAUCGAUCUGCGCUCGGAUUGCACACAGCUGCACGAUAUUCGCGCGCGCGCGGAGGCAAUCUCGUCCAAAGUGUGCUUUAAUUCGCCAAGAGACUGAACGUUGCAAAUCGAGCGACGAAUGAUGGAUGAAAUCCUGUGGCAUUUUCGCUGAGGAGAAAUCGACGCGGGGACUUGUCCACCGGACCCUCCGUACAAUUAUAAUACUUGAGCGUGAUUCGCAUUAGUGAGCGGAGAGGAACCGGCGAUAUCAAUUUCGGCGGGAGACGGAUAUGCGUCGCGCAAAUCGAGUCGCUUACCAGGACAUAUGAAGAUGUGUCUCGGUUGCUUUGCCAAAAUCUUCUGCAAUUUUCAAUUUUACACAUUGCAUGUAAGGUUGAAAGUUGCAUAAGUAAUCCUAAGGAUAAUUUUCAUUCUGGAAUAUAGAUAUUAGUAGAGUAUAAAAUGUUACUUCUAGCGUACUUUUUGUGGUGAUGUAUUUUCAAGCAAAAAAAUACGCAAACUCACACCCAAUUUCCUAAAAAACAGCAAAAAAAUUUACAAUUUUAAAUCUCUUAAUUUGCCAUUUUUUUGAAAAAAUUGUUUCUUCCCAUUCUGAAGUAUUUUGAUUAAAUUUUGACGUCAAAAAUAUAUAUUUUGCUUAUUUUGAGAUGUAUGUGAUUUUUAGAGAUUUUAGAGUGAAAAUCUUUGCCUCACUUUAAGUGCGCUAGAAAUUUUAAGAAAUUUUGAAAAUUUGAGUUCUUUUGUAAAAUUUAGGUGAUUUUGCUUGAUUUUAAGUUUUUUUUUUUAAAUGGCAAAUUAAAGUUUUUUUGCUGUUUUUGAGGAGAUUGAGUGUUUCUUGGUUGAAAAUGUAUCUUCCAAAAAAAAAAAAAUGCGCUAGAAGUAACAUUUUAUAUUCUACUAAUGCUGAGAUUGCACGUAGCUCGAGAAAAGUUAAAAUUUCUCACUUAUCUUAUCAGACUAUGUUUCAUCAGUAGCUUUGAUAUUCUCAUGAUGCAUCACUGAAACAUGUCGCAGUUGUCUGCGUGACCUCAUUAGAUUUUUUGGAUUGCUAUAGGGAUAAUCAAUAGGCGAGAUAAUUCCCACUUAUGAGUGUAAAAGCCAUCCGUUCUAAGAUCAAGUUAUAUACGUGCACAUAGAAAAAUAUUCUACUGUUAAGAAAAGCGAUUACUCAGUUUCCUUUUCUUAAGUAACGAUUAUCUUCAACAUAGAAUAAUUUCCUGAUAAUAGUCUGAAAAUAUAUUGGUCACAACUUUUA